CAAUUCUAAAGCUUAAACGAGCCCAAACCUUAAAAAAUACUCAUUUCAAAACAAAACCCUAAAGAAACUACCUCGUAACCAGUUUCCAUUUCUGACGAUCCCUCUUCUUCUUCAACAAUUUGUCUCUUCAAGCUCUGAAAGAUAACUGUCAACCACGUCAAAACUUUCAAUUGAUCCAAGGCAUCUCUGAAAUGAGCGAUUUUACUCGCUAUUUUAGUUACUCUUUUACUAAAGAAACUUUGGAUCUCAAAUGCCUUUCCAUUUUCCUAUCAUUUUCUUCUCUUAAAAAAUAGAAAUACUCUUUCUUCAACCCCUCAAAUCUAUUGUUUCCUUGUAUUCAAAUUUGUAAAGUUCCUUAGAUUUUACAUCAUCCCUUCAACUUCCUCCUCUUCCACCUUGUAUGUCAACCUUGACGGCCCUAACUAUCGAACUAAAAAGACCAGAAGCCAAAUAAGUAUUCUCGCUCUCGAUCAAACCUUCUUUUGCAAGUAUAUGAGCCACUUUGUUUGUUUGUCUCCUUGCAUGCUUAAAUCUACAACUAACAAAGUUGCUUCUUAAUCUUUUAGCAUCUAAAAUAUAAACCCUGAUUUCAUAUCUAUCCUCUUCCUCACUUAGUAUUUUUUUAAUAAUAGCUAGCACGUCGCCAUCAACUUCAACUCUUAAAAAGCCUGACUCUGUUUCGAAUCUAACCGCCUAGACAAAUGCGAGUGCCUCUGCUAUAAACGUCGUCGGUAUAUGCCCGUUAUUCAUCAAAGUUGAUUUUAACAUUCUUUCCCUCCAAAGGAUUCUAGUGUUCUUUUGCCACUAUGUUGACUGGUCCACCUGAUACCCAAUCUGGACCAAACAUCAACUGCAAAUGGGCAGUCUCGAAACAUAUGAUCAGUGGUUUCAGUAUUGUUUAAGCAUCUUGGAUAGUUUACUGUAUUCCCUAGUCUGCAUUGAUAUAGAUUAGAGAAAGUAGGAUGAAAAUUAUUUAGGGUUUUCCAUACUAGGAUUUUUGUUUUUGAAGGCGAUUCAACCUUCCAUAGCUUUUAGUACAUGGUUUUGUAAUAAUUUGGUUUGCUUGUAAAUUUGUUGAUCUCUCAGUUUGUAUUAAAUUUUUGUAAUCACUCUACACUGUGUAAACCCUUGAAGCUUCUCCUUGCCAUACCACUCAAUCCAUUUUUUGUUCGAGAAGGAGAGACAUGAAUAGAAUCCUUUCAACAUUUUCGACGUGAAAGGAGAGCGUAGGAGAACGAAGGGAAUGGGAAAUGGGCCAAAAACGGAGAAAAUGGGCCAAAGUACGAAAUUAUACGGCCUAGACUUCCUCACACUAGCAGACUACACGGCUGUGUCCAUCUGGCAGAAUUGGAGCACGACUCACACGGGUAUAGUACACGCCCGUGCCAUUCUAACAGGCUCAAACACGGCCUGAAGUAAUCGCACACGGGCGUGUCCCUGCCGAGCCCAAGUUAAGUCCAAUUCGGAAAAAAGGCCACUUGUGAGGGCCUCUAGGCAUUCCAAAGCCUAUAAAUACACCCUAGAAGAGGAGAAAAAGGGAGACGGACAAGAGGGGGUAAGGAAUUACUCCAAGGAAGCCGAUUGAUCCAUCUCAGAAGCCGGAUUCAUCAUCAAGACUGAAGAUCUCUCCUCAAUUUCCCUUCAGGAGUUUUGGGUUUUCUUUAUAUUUUGUAUUCUUUAUUCUUCUGAGAUGUUUUCUUAUUUAGUUAUAAACUAAAACCCCUAAAUACCUAAGGGGAAUGAAACCUAAGACGAAUCUUGUUAUUAUUUUCUGAAUCGUAUGAUAAAUAUUUAACUUGUUCUUAA